GUCUACUGCCAGGCCAUCCUGAACGCGCCCGAUCUCGUGAAGCUAAGCAGGGUCGAGCCUGGUUAGUACUUGGAUGGGGGGCUGCCUGGGAAUACCAGGUGCUGUAGGCU
rnacentral:rRNA from 1 species